ACUCCUACGGGAGGCAGCAGUGGGGAAUAUUGCACAAUGGGCGCAAGCCUGAUGCAGCCAUGCCGCGUGUAUGAAGAAGGCCUUCGGGUUGUAAAGUACUUUCAGCAGUGAGGAAGGUGGGUAUGUUAAUAGCAUAUUCAUUUGACGUUAGCUGCAGAAGAAGCACCGGCUAACUCCGUGCCAGCAGCCGCGGUAAUACGGAGGGUGCGAGCGUUAAUCGGAAUUACUGGGCGUAAAGCGCAUGCAGGUGGUUUGUUAAGUCAGAUGUGAAAGCCCGGGGCUCAACCUCGGAAUUGCAUUUGAAACUGGCAAACUAGAGUACUGUAGAGGGGGGUAGAAUUUCAGGUGUAGCGGUGAAAUGCGUAGAGAUCUGAAGGAAUACCGGUGGCGAAGGCGGCCCCCUGGACAGAUACUGACACUCAGAUGCGAAAGCGUGGGGAGCAAACAGGAUUAGAUACCCUGGUAGCACAAG
rnacentral:rRNA from 1 species